rnacentral:tRNA from 1 species
GUUCCCAUAGCUCAGUUGGUUAGAGCACCAAACUUUUAAUUUGGGGGUCGAGGAUUCGAGUUCCUCUGGGAACA